ACAAGGUCAUCACGUCCAGAUUAUUGCCGUCCGAGGUCCCAGCACAGAAACUGGGAGCUGCAGGUGGAUAGAACACAGCUGGCACCGUUUGGGGAAAAGCAAGGCCCCAAGGAGCCCAGGGGAAUGAGCGAGUUUGCAGGCGGUGGAGGCGAGGAGAGCCGAGAUGCCGGGGCGUGGCGAUGAAGGGGAGAACACGGAGCUCGCUGCGGGCGUGGGGGUCACACGGCUCUCACCGCCCGUGCGCAGACGGGGAGACAGCAAGUGGAGGACGCUGUGUUUAUCUGCAGAAUGUGGCACACCAGCUUCGGGUUCGUUUGCGUUGAUCACCCAAUAAACACUGUGAGCCCAGGGACCAGGUGAGGGCUUGAGGCCAAACCACGCCACCUGCUCUUCUCAGGGUAGCCCACAGUUGGCACGCUGCUCGGUAUACAGAAGGCACUCAAUGAAUGCUUGUAGCCUGGAACUCACUUGUCUUUCUCUCUUCUCCUCCCUUGUGGAUGACAGUUGAGAAAAGCAUUGGUCAAACAGAGUUUAUGGACAAAAGCCCAUGAGAUUGGCCUCCAUUUCCUCCAUGUGGGGUGCAGAGCCCCCAGGCCCACACUUUUGUCAAAAAGCACAUUUUAAAUUCUCCCACUCAGUGAUGUAAGACCUACCACUUAAUGACACUAACUAGCGGUUUCUAGACUCUAACCGGUGGUCAAUUCAGAAAACCCAACUGUGGUGCCACGGUACCCCCUGGUGACAUUCUCUCUGCCCCCACUUCCCAUCCGGCUCCUCUCUGUUCCUCCAUCCCCACCCCCACUCCCUUCUUAGGGAUGAUCCUGGUGUCUCCUCCUCCUCUGGACAGGGUUCCAAUCACACAAUGUUUCAUCAGCAUUCCUUGUUUCUUGGUGGCUCAGGUAAGAAAAACCAAGCAAACAAAUCCAUCUUUUCUACAAAAUUUAUUUUUUUUUAAUUUUUCCAAGAAGAGUUAGGGGGAAAAAUUGGAAUCACAUCAAGGUAAGUAACAAGGGUAUAUAAAAAUAAUUUAAACAUACAUAUCAGUAAUAAAGCAACCUUUCUUUCUAGCAACAACUAGUAGAGAAUCUUGCCCAAGAUUUUUCCAAAGGUAUUAUAUACAUCUCAGAUAACAAGAAA